GUCACUGGUCGCUCGGUAAAGUGAGCGUUAAACCCCACGUCGGGCGAGAAAAGUCGUCCACGACUGAGCAGCACAUUGUCUGGAGGUUCUAAAAGGGUGGCGCGAAACUGACAGCCGGGGACAGGCGCAGUUUCUCCAGGAUCAGCUGCAGUUUGCAGAAUUUCCUGCCUGUGUGAGAAAUUCUGCAAGAUGACCCCAGCAGCAGCAGCAGCAGCGGUGGCAGCGGCAGAAGCAGCGGCAGCAGCAGCAGCAGAGUUCCUGGAAUCACCGCUGCUUUGACCUGUCAUGACCUCUCGUCUCCCCUCUUCUCCCGCCCAGCAGCAAAGAGAAAGAGAAGACUCUCCAAGAUGCUGAUGAUUGAUACAAUGAAUUGUCAGGAGUGUGUGAUGAGAAACACACGUUUACCCGCACAGCCUGCCAGAAUUUAUCAGCACUUGGAAACUGAAAGUCUGUGUGUGUGUGUGUGCAUGUUAUCCAUCGAUAAGCCUCUGUCAGCCUAACUCUGCUCAUCUGGCUUUUGACUAAUUUCUCUCCAACCUAAUGAAGCAUGCUUUAAAAACACGCACGCUGCAGUAAAUCUGAAAUAGGAAAUGCAACCACGGUAGAUGGAAGUGGUUAGUUUUUUUUUAAGACUGGUUUGAUGCACUGACAUAAAAGCAUUUUUCAUUUGCCCUCACAGCUCCACAACUGAGCCCAACCUGCUGGUUUUCAUUACAAACCUAUUAUUGCACUUGUGCUCCUGUAGCAGCUGCUAGAUGUAAUAUUGAGUCAUAGAAAAGCGCAAAAAUAUACAAUUGAACAAGUCAAGUGAAGAUGGGCAUUUGACAUAAAAAUGACUGUAUACAGCAACACACAUUUACAGGCAGGCAGUCACAGUGAUGCCCCCAGGGAAUGUAGCAUCUCUACCUGACUGGCAUACAUGUACAGGAGCUGCAGCCUCCACGGGGGCUUAAGGUGAACUCAAGGUGAACAUUCAAACCAUGAAAUCAAAUGUACUCUCUGUUCUUUAGGAAGCGUUCGCGUCACACAGUUUUGGUGUGCCGUCCUCGUACCGUGUCACCUUUCAUCGCGUCCUCCUCAACUGGAGUCCAGUGUCGCCAUCUGCAGGCGGCAGGGCUGAACUUCCCAUUUCCAUGGCAACUGCAUGCGUUGUUGCGGGGAGCCCCCGUAGCCCCUGGCAACAGGCUCCUCGCUGGGAUUGGAGUCCUAUCAGCAGCUGUCAAUCAUGGGAUGAGCCGCUGCUUUGCCCAAGGCCAAUGUGCUCAUAAGAGAUAGGAACAAAUCCAUUACGAGGCGGCGGGCCUGGACGGGGUCAGCUGGAGACAAAGGGAACGCAGGAUGCACACACCUGAUUAUAAUGCGCGCGGAAGCUGUGAUGAUGUCGCGGUGGGCACUCCUCACAGCCAUUACCAUGGUUACGCAUCGAUCCACGGAGGUACGCCACGAUCACAGCGAGGAGUCGGACGAACAAAAUGGCCGCACCUUCUCGUUACGGCACUGACAUUGCGAUGGAAUGAAAGAGGAGGCCGGCAACAGAUGGCAGGGAUUCCUACUGUACCGUUGAGCGAACCCUUUGAAUUUCUAUUACUUGCUUGAGCCCGAGGCAUUGGCCGAACCGACACUCGGGCCCCAGGGGGCAGCGCCUGCUCUGCAAUCUAUCCAUAACUACUAUCUCCACCCACCUCCACCUCCUUUAUGUAAUUAUUCUUCUUUGACCUUUCCGUACAGUAAAUUCUAUUCCUUCGUACAGCUUGUGAUGGCUCAUAGAGCUCGACUUACUGGAUAUUGGAUCACAAUGACUUUCUGGUAACCUUAUUUUUCAACUGCGAUCAUUUCUAGCAAAUAUUGUGAAACUGUACCUCAUAAUUAUUAAUUUAUUAA